rnacentral:rRNA from 1 species
AAUACGGAAGGUCCAAGCGUUAAUCGGAAUUACUGGGCGUAAAGCGCGCGUAGGUGGUUUAUUAAGUUGGGUGUGAAAGCCCCGGGCUCAACCUGGGAACUGCAUCCAAAACUGAUUCACUAGAGUACGAAAGAGGAAAGUAGAAUUCACAGUGUAGCGGUGGAAUGCGUAGAUAUUGUGAAGAAUACCGAUUGCGAAGGCAGCUUUCUGGUUCUGUACUGACACUGAGGUGCGAAAGCGUGGGUAGCGAACAGGAUUAGAUACCCUGGUAGUCCACGCCGUAAACGAUGACAACUAGCUGUUGGGAAGCUAUGCUUUUCAGUGGCGCAGCUAACGUCUUAAGUUGUCCGCCUGGGGAGUACGGCCGCAAGGUUAAAACUCAAAUGAAUUGACGGGGACCCGCACAAGCGGUGGAGCAUGUGGUUUAAUUCGAUGCAACGCGAAAAACCUUACCUACACUUGACAUACUUGGAAUCUUUUGUAAUGAAAGAGUGCCUUUUGGAGCCAAGAUACAGGUGCUGCAUGGCUGUCGUCAGCUCGUGUCGUGAGAUGUUGGGUUAAGUCCCAUAACGAGCGCAACCCUUACCCUUAUUUGCCAGCGAUUCGGUCGGGAACUAUAAGGGGACUGCCGGUGAUAGACCGGAGGAAGGUGAGGACGACGUCAAGUCAUCAUGGCCCUUCCGUGUAGGGCUACACACGUGCUACAAUGGGGAGUACAGAUAGACGCUAAAGCGCGAGCUGGUGUUAAUCUCAUAAAACUCUUCGUAGUCCGGAUUGCAGUCUGCAACUCGACUGCAUGAAGUCGGAAUCGCUAGUAAUCGCGAAUCAGCAUGUCGCGGUGAAUACGUUCUCGGGUCUUGUACACACCGCCCGUCACACCAUGGGAGUGUAUUGCACCAGAAGUGGGUAGUCUAACCUUCGGGAGGGCGCUCACCACGGCGUGGUCCAU